rnacentral:rRNA from 1 species
UACGGAGGGUGCAAGCAUUGAUCGGAAUUAUUGGGCGUAAAGGGCGCGUAGGCGGUUAGGAAAGUCAGAUGUGAAAUUCCGGGGCUCAACCCCGGAGCUGCAUUUGAAACUUCCAGACUAGAGUACAGUUAGGGAAAACGGAAUUCCACGUGUAGCGGUGAAAUGCGUAGAUAUGUGGAAGAACACCAGUGGUGAAGACGGUUUUCUGGGCUGUAACUGACGCUGAGGCGCGAAAGCUAGGGGAGCAAACAGG